UUUUGCCAAACUCUAUGCAUAUAUAGAGGCUGGGCAAGAAAGAAAUCCAGAAAUAUGGCAUAUGCCAUCCUUAUUUAUUUCCCCAUGCGACCAGCCAACAACUUCUUCACCUAGUCCCUGCUUCAAGCUGACUUUGUGUCUACUUCUCUAUCGGAAACGGAGCUGCCCUAAAGACUGCCUCAAUGUCAGUUACCCAGAGGCCUUUUUCCAUCUUGUGCUCCUAAACUUCUAUGAUAUUAAAUGAUAUUACCCUUUCUGGAAAUUCUCCUUAGCUUUGAUUUUAUAAUUUUACUCUGUUUCAUUCCUUCUUUUAUAGCCUUUCUUUUCUCUAUCCCUUUACUGCAGACAUGUUGUAUGGCUUUGUUCUUGACCUUCUGAUCUCUCCACAUUCAUUCCCUCAGAGCAUGCAUCCAUUUUCUUGGUGUCGGCCUUCCUGACUAUCUGAUUAUUACCAUCAUAUAACGAUGUUGGUGAUGGGCAUAGCUAACAUAUCCUAGGCAUUUUCCAUGUAGGUUAUAAUAAGCAUACUAUAUAAUUUGUACCAUUUAAUUCUUCAACCCUAAAUGAUACUAUUAUGAACCACAUUGUAUGAGAUGAGGAAACUGAGAUUUUCAUCAAAACCAUGGAAAGCCAACGUGAGGAGCCCCUGUGUGUCUCCUUUGUUAAUGCCUCUGGGCAUCAUGGCAUGUGGAUUGCCCUAGAAUGGGGAUUAGGAAGCGCAGCACUGUGAAAACACCAGAAAAUACGUUAUGAUAGCGGGUAAGGAUGCUCAUCUCCGCACAUUGAGAUAGUUUUGUUUCUGAGUCAGGUUAGAGAUGAGCCAAUCCUGACUCCAUGGUGCCACCAGGGAUCACGAAUUUAAUAAGAUCUUCGUGGAUGCUUGGAACCCAACUGGUCUCUGUUUUCUACUUUAGGGAAAGAGCCACAGCUUGAGUGGGGUGGUUUUGGUGUCACAUACGCUAUCAAUAAUACUCACCGUUUUGGUGUCACAUACGCGAUUAAUAAUACCCACCGCUGCAGAGGAAUCACCGUGGACUACUCCUCGUUUCAUCCCAUGCUCUUGCGAUGGAUCCCUCUCACCUGUUUACUGAUUUCAUUCAAAUUCUUCAGCGACCACAGGACCCCGACUUGCCUUCUCUAUCCUGGUUCCCACCACUCUGCUUUACAGGCCUGGCCUGCUCGCGGCUCCUCACACCAGCGCUGCACGGCUCCCUCCACGCCUCUGCCCUGUUUCCUCCAUCAGACAGGACUAGCUUCCUCCUUCUCUAUCGGGCAAAAGCCUGCCCAGCGUUCAAGACCCUCCUCAGAUGCCGCCUCCACGAUUAGGCUUCUUCCUGACUCCUGAGCCUGUAACACGCGCCACCAUAACUCUCCACCUCGGCCCACAUUCCCACAGCACUCGCGACGUCCGCGGCCCUCAACAUGGCGCUUCAUUCUAUUUUAGGGUAUUUCCUGCUUGUUUCCUGCACACACAGUCGCGCGAGGCACAGCCCCGAGUGACCCGCGCACGAGUGGCCCGCGCUUCCAGACGCGCCACCGCAGGCCAGGGAGGGCAGCCUGAGCCGCUUCCCGCCCCCGCGGGGACCUUCGCCAGCCCGCAGCUCUAGCGGGAGGCGGUUCCACAGCGCGCCCGACAGCCCCGCCACCGUCAGCACCUGCGCCUCGGGCGGGCUUUCCCCACCUCUGGGAGGCACGAAUCCUCAGGGGCUCCUGGAGAGGGCGCCAGGGAGCAGAUGCGUGCGGACACCUUUCGGCCCUCUGCAGCCGCCAUAGCUCGCCGGCAGAAACUCGGAAGUGGAAAUCUCAGCCAUUCAGCGUUUGGGUGAAGACGGAGGCGGGUUCUGGACAGACGUACGCUGUCAGGGAGUGUUUACUUCGCCUCCACUUCUGUUCUUCCCCGCCGUGGUGCUGCUCCAGGUCACAUACUCUUCCUGAGCUGGCUUCAGCCUCUCCGCGCAGAAGUCUCCCGCAGCCAUGGCCUAGUACUCUUAUGUGAAGUCUACCAAGCUUGUGCUCAAGGGAACCGAGGUGAAGAGCUGGGUCCUGCAGCUCCGGCGGGAGCCUCCUCAGUUCUUUUCGGACGCACUCCACCCCCGCGAAUCCGGUGGAAGCCGUGGUGCGGAGAGCCGGCUUCGUGGCCUCCCAGGCUUCGCUCUGACCCUGUCUGGGCUGGACGGAGGCCGGACCGCGGUUCCUGGCGCCUGUGCAGAGAGGGGCAGCCUCCCGCGCGGACGACCCUGGAAACAGGAUAGAAGGGCGGGUGACCCGUGGCCCCGUACCCACGAGUUUGGGUCCCCUGAGGCAUCUCUCCAGGCCUCUGCCUGAUUUGCCUGAGGUUGACUGUACAUACAAAUAUUGAGCAUUUCCUCCUGGCCUCUGUGAUAAACAGAGGUUUUGAUAUUGUUAGGCGAGAUGGAAAGAAAGUAUCAAGGGGUGAGCUGAAGCCACUGCCCUUGAGAACCCUCUCGAGGAGUCUGGCCUCAUGAAGAUGCCAGAAUAAAUGGCAGUAAGAAGAAAAAGAGCAAAGAUAAGAAGAGAAAAAGAGAAGAAGAUGAAGAAACCCAGCUUGAUAUGUUGGUGAGUCAGUUUUCAGUGCUUUAUUCUGAAAAAAGUUAACAUUUCUUGAGAUCUCAUUGAAAAUAUUUUCCUAGUUAGAAAUUUAUGAUGUAUUCAUAUUUGUCUUAAAGUGCUUAAAUAUUACCUACAGUUGCAAAUUCCAUUUAUUCUUUAGCACAGUAUAUGCUACUGAUCCCUUUACUUCAUUAUCAGAACAGAGCACAGGAGAGAAGAAUUACAACUCUCUGACUUAAUAGGCACCAUUAGACUGCUUAAUAGCCGCAGAUUCUGAUACAUAAUUUUAAAGGCUUAAUGUAAAUAUUAUUCAACCAAAUAUAUUUUACAAGAUAUUUUCU